AUUGUUUGAUCCUGGCUCAGGAUGAACGCUAGCGGCAGGCCUAAUACAUGCAAGUCGAACGGGAUCGGGGACUUCGGUCCCCGUGAGAGUGGCGCACGGGUGCGUAACGCGUGAGCAACCUGCCCGUCCCAGGGGGAUAGCCCGGAGAAAUCCGGAUUAAUACCGCAUGAGAAUGCAGGUCCGCAUGGGCCUUCAUUUAAAUAUUCAUAGGGGACGGAUGGGCUCGCGUGACAUUAGCUGGUUGGCGGGGUAACGGCCCACCAAGGCGACGAUGUCUAGGGGCUCUGAGAGGAGAAACCCCCACACUGGUACUGAGACACGGACCAGACUCCUACGGGAGGCAGCAGUAAGGAAUAUUGGUCAAUGGGGGGAACCCUGAACCAGCCAUGCCGCGUGCAGGAAGACGGCCCUACGGGUUGUAAACUGCUUUUGCACGGGAAUAACCCCCGGUAUGUAUACCGGGCUGAAUGUACCGUGAGAAUAAGGAUCGGCUAACUCCGUGCCAGCAGCCGCGGUAAUACGGAGGAUCCGAGCGUUAUCCGGAAUUAUUGGGUUUAAAGGGUGCGUAGGCGGCGCGCUAAGUCAGGGGUGAAAGACGGUGGCUCAACCAUCGCAGUGCCUUUGAUACUGGCGCGCUUGAAUGUACCUGAGGUAGGCGGAAUGUGGCAAGUAGCGGUGAAAUGCAUAGAUAUGCCACAGAACACCGAUUGCGAAGGCAGCUUACCAAAGUACGAUUGACGCUGAGGCACGAAAGCGUGGGGAUCGAACAGGAUUAGAUACCCUGGUAGUCCACGCCCUAAACGAUGAACACUCGAUGUCGGCGAUAGACUGUCGGCGUCCAAGCGAAAGCGUUAAGUGUUCCACCUGGGGAGUACGCCCGCAAGGGUGAAACUCAAAGGAAUUGACGGGGGCCCGCACAAGCGGAGGAGCAUGUGGUUUAAUUCGAUGAUACGCGAGGAACCUUACCCGGGCUUGAAAGUUACUGAAUUUGUCCAGAGAUGGACAGGUCCUUCGGGACAGGAAACUAGGUGCUGCAUGGCUGUCGUCAGCUCGUGCCGUGAGGUGUUGGGUUAAGUCCCGCAACGAGCGCAACCCCUAUGUUUAGUUGCCAGCACGUCAAGGUGGGGACUCUAAACAGACUGCCUGUGCAAACAGAGAGGAAGGCGGGGACGACGUCAAGUCAUCAUGGCCCUUACGUCCGGGGCUACACACGUGCUACAAUGGGGGGUACAGAGGGCAGCGACACCGCGAGGUGAAGCCAAUCUCAGAAAGCCCCUCACAGUUCGGAUCGGGGUCUGCAACUCGACCCCGUGAAGUUGGAUUCGCUAGUAAUCGCGUAUCAGCAAUGACGCGGUGAAUACGUUCCCGGGCCUUGUACACACCGCCCGUCA
rnacentral:rRNA from 1 species